rnacentral:rRNA from 1 species
GACGAACGCUGGCGGCGUGCCUAAUACAUGCGAGUAGAACGCUGAAGGAGGAGCUUGCUUCUCCGGAUGAGUUGCGAACGGGUGAGUAACGCGUAGGUAACCUGCCUGGUAGCGGGGGAUAACUAUUGGAAACGAUAGCUAAUACCGCAUAACAGUAGAUAUUGCAUGAUAUCUGCUUGAAAGGUGCAAUUGCAUCACUACCAGAUGGACCUGCGUUGUAUUAGCUAGUUGGUGAGGUAACGGCUCACCAAGGCGACGAUACAUAGCCGACCUGAGAGGGUGAUCGGCCACACUGGGACUGAGACACGGCCCAGACUCCUACGGGAGGCAGCAGUAGGGAAUCUUCGGCAAUGGACGGAAGUCUGACCGAGCAACGCCGCGUGAGUGAAGAAGGUUUUCGGAUCGUAAAGCUCUGUUGUAAGAGAAGAACGAGUGUGAGAGUGGAAAGUUCACACUGUGACGGUAUCUUACCAGAAAGGGACGGCUAACUACGUGCCAGCAGCCGCGGUAAUACGUAGGUCCCGAGCGUUGUCCGGAUUUAUUGGGCGUAAAGCGAGCGCAGGCGGUUAGAUAAGUCUGAAGUUAAAGGCUGUGGCUUAACCAUAGUACGCUUUGGAAACUGUUUAACUUGAGUGCAAGAGGGGAGAGUGGAAUUCCAUGUGUAGCGGUGAGAUGCGUAGAUAUAUGGAGGAACACCGGUGGCGAAAGCGGCUCUCUGGCUUGUAACUGACGCUGAGGCUCGAAAGCGUGGGGAGCAAACAGG